AUGCAAAUCACUCUGCUAGUUAAACUCCUACACAACGGAUAAUAAAAUACAUGAAACACAUAACACACCAAUUAAUUUCAAACCAUAUAACUCAUACUCAGCAUUCAAUGUAAUAUUACAUGUCAUCUCACAAAACAGACGUAGUAGAAACACAUAAUGGAUACCCAGCAGAUAUGCCAAUACAGAAAACACAUUCAUGGGCACGCAACUACACACUCUGUGUCCCUCCUAGGAAACACGGGUAGAAACAAUAUGAAAGCAGUCUUAAACUAACACCUCCAAAUCUCCAUUCCCAUAUAGCUAUAUCAGAACACAACACAGAGCCUGAUAGAACUACUCCAACUACUCGUGGCCAAAACACUUGUAUUCAACAGCUAAUAAAACCAUUAUUUGCUGGGUUAUUUGACUGGCAUUUUUAUCAGUAUCAUUAGACUGAGACAAACUGAUUCAAAUAUAAUGUAAAACAACACAGCAACAUAUAAAUUAAACCACUUUCCAGUUAAGCUGCACACUUCAC